AAUUUAGUCAUUUAACUCUUAAAAAUAUUUUAAAAUAUGUGAAUUUCAGAUGAAGAUGAGCCUCCUUCAAUUAAUCCUAGAACACCAACUCCAGUACUGCCAUUUUGUCUAGACUUGUCCACUAUAUUUUUCUGCUAAGUUUCUUAUUACUUUGAGCAUUGUUUGUAGUAUUUAGAGGGAAAAGAGCCUCAGGAAUUGAAUUGGGAACAAAUGAAGAGGGAAAUGAAAUAACACCUAUAAAGUCAACCUCUCACAUGUUUUGCAAAACUCUUACAGCCUCAGAUACUAGCACUCAUGUGUGGUUCUCUGUCCCUCGCAGAGCUGCUAAGACUGUUUUUCUCGUUUGGAUUAUAAGCAGCAAAGACCUUCUCAAGAACUUGUUGCCAAAGAUUUGCAUGGUGUGGAGUGGAAAUUUCGACAUAUUUAUAGAGGUCAGCCAAGGUGGCAUCUGCUCACAGUAUUUUUGUUAGCCAAAAGAAUCUUGUUUCUGGAGAUGCAGUUCUCUUUCUUAGGUGUGUAUAUGUGUGUGUGUUCAAGUAGAAUUUU